GGGAAAUUUAAAAAAAAAAUUAUCACAUGAUUUAGUGCACAUUUUUAAAGUAUGGUCUUAUGUAUUUUUAGAAAAUUAUUAUAUAUAUCAGUAACACUAAUUUUUAUAAAGAUGAAUUUAUAUAUUCAAAUAGAUAAUAUAUGUAUAUCGGAUCAUUGAAUAAUCUUUUCCUAUUUUCAUCCUAUCACUAAUGCUUAUAAGGCAGCUAAUAUGUCAUUAAUUUGUAGAUAAUUGAAAAUAUGACUUUCAGCUACAGGUUUAAAUCCGUUGCUAAAAAUAUCAUCGCUAAAGUAUCAACCGUUAAAAUCUUCCUUGUGGUACUUGACAAAAAUAUUAUGUUCUUUUCGUUCUGUUUAUUCUGAUGAUGGUGGAUUUGCAGGAGGGAAUAAUGAAUGUUAGGGGCAUAUUCCUGGUUUAAAAGUGGGAUAAUAGCCGGACAAAGGCCGUCCUCUGAAUAGGAGAUGGUUGAAGCGUGGAAAAACAAAUGAGUAUCGAAAUGGACCUUGGAAAAGCUGUAGCUUACAGUUGGUGAAGAUGGGUUUUUUUAUAGAAAUGGUGAUGUUGAUGGAGAGAAUAAUUUAGCAGGUGGGCACUGCAAAACGCAAACAAAAUCCAUUACAAUUUUAUUCAUUUAUUGCAGUCUGCACAUUUGUCUUCUGAGGUUCAGUCUUCUGUCACCGCUAUAUGGCAACUACUAGAGACAUUGGUAAAGUUGCCGGAACUUGAUCUCAAGGAUUUAUAUCAAUUUUAGUUGCAAUUAAUAUAAUUUAUCACCCAAAAGAAAUAUAAUUUUUUUUUAAAUAAUUUGUAAUAUUCUCAAAUGAGAUUUAAGUUUCUUUUUUGUUCGGUAGCACAUAGGCCUAAAAUAUGCGAUUUUUGGAAAGUACAGUACGGUAGCAGACAACCACACGUCGAAUUCAAAGAAGAAAGACAUAGCGGCAAAUUUAACUGGCUGUCAAAAAUUUGAAUGUGUCAGUUAGUCCUAGACAGCAGCAACUGACAUUGGCCGGCGGAUCUUCACAAGCAAAGCCCAUCGUCUCCUUGCAAAAUGGAGCUUUCACGUUCAUCGACCAUAUCCCUCCAUU
rnacentral:misc_RNA from 1 species